rnacentral:rRNA from 1 species
GUGCCAGCAGCCGCGGUAAUACGUAGGGUGCGAGCGUUAAUCGGAAUUACUGGGCGUAAAGCGUGCGCAGGCGGUUCGUUAAGUCUGAUGUGAAAGCCCCGGGCUCAACCUGGGAAUGGCAUGGGAAACUGGCGAGCUGGAGUGCGGCAGAGGGGGGUGGAAUUCCGCGUGUAGCAGUGAAAUGCGUAGAGAUGCGGAGGAACACCGAUGGCGAAGGCAGCCCCCUGGGCCGACACUGACGCUCAGGCACGAAAGCGUGGGGAGCAAACAGGAUUAGAAACCCUCGUAGUCC